rnacentral:rRNA from 1 species
CAGCCGCCACGGUAAAACGGAGGGUGCAAGCGUUAAUCGGAAUUACUGGGCGUAAAGCGCACGCAGGCGGUCUGACAAGUCAGAUGUGAAAUCCCCGGGCUUAACCUGGGAACUGCAUUUGAAACUGUCAGGCUGGAGUCUUGUAGAGGGGGGUGGAAUUCCAGGUGUAGCGGUGAAAUGCGUAGAGAUCUGGAGGAAUACCGGUGGCGAAGGCGGCCCCCUGGACAAAGACUGACGCUCAGGUGCGAAAGCGUGGGGAGCAAACAGGAUUAGAUACCCGAGUAGUCCCUGUCUCUUAUAC